UCUAAGGUAAGAUUUAAAAGAACAUCAUUAAAAUUAAUUACAUUCAAAUUUCACAGUUUUUCCCUUUUUCCAAUUUCAGAUUGAAUUUUAGAAUAAUAUAGAUUCAAAAUUUUUUUCUUCUUUAAGUUCUAAUAAUGUUAUCUUUCCCGAUUUUUUAUAAUUAGUACUAAAUGAUUCACUUAUCUUUAAACUCUCCCUUUUUUAAUAACGUUUAUGCAAGUAAGCUUCGAGCUCCAA
rnacentral:lncRNA from 1 species